rnacentral:rRNA from 1 species
UACGGAGGGUGCGAGCGUUAUUCGGAAUCACUGGGCGUAAAGGGCGCGUAGGCGGCCUGGUAAGUCAGGGGUGAAAUCCCACGGCUCAACCGUGGAAUUGCCUUUGAAACUGCUGGGCUUGGAUCCUGGAGAGGGUGGCGGAAUUCCUGGUGUAGGAGUGAAAUCCGUAGAUAUCAGGAGGAACACCGGUGGCGAAGGCGGCCUCCUGGGCCUGCACUGACGCUGAGGCGCGAAAGCGUGGGGAGCAAACAGG